rnacentral:lncRNA from 1 species
AAUUAAAGCUGAGAAAGAGCUCGGAAGAGCGUGGGAAUCCGUGCGGGGUUCUUCCUGUGACGGCGCAAGUGUGCUGCAGGACUCUUCCCGGAAUGCACGUAUGGCUUGCAAGCGAGCUUAGUGCUUGAGACUUUCCAGCUCCUGAGCACCACUAAUCUCCUCCAAAGAAGAUGGGUGCAUAAGAAACUCCACCUACGACUUGCUUUAAAUGUGACAAAUCUGGACACUGGGCUAUACACUUGCCUUUAGCCCGAAUGCUGGCAGCAUGCUGUCCAAACUGUGGACAGGAUAUUGAUCCAUCAAAAAUAAAUGAGGAAAUAAAACCCUACCUACUCUGUGUAGAUUCACUCAAGAAUGGUGGUUUUAUAAUCUAUGCAGUGACUCCUGAGCUGAAGCAGUGCAUCUGCUUUCAGAUAAUGAUGUAAAACUUCACCUCUAUAGGAAACUUGACUGGCUUUCAAAACAUCUUUAGGAAUCAGAGUAAGUGUUAAUCAUUACCUCCCACAACUAAGCCUGAGGCUAAACUCUCUAAAAAUUCUUGUCCAUUAUUUUUAACAAUGUAUUUACCUGUAGUAAUUGUAAGUUUUAUAUAUUUAUAAUGAGCUCUAAGAUUAAAACACAGCUUAACACAUCUAUAUUUUGAAAUUAAAAAUGAUUCAUCAGGCUUUAUAUCUUUUUAAAUGUUUUUCUUUUCACAUAGACAUGUUUCCACAAUCUUUGAUAGAAUCAUAGUUGUAGUUAAAUUCUUAUUGUUUGUGUUUCAAAAAUCCACUGUAUUAUUUGGCUAUUGUAACAUUACUGGACAUCAUUGAUUCAAUAAAGACAAAAACAUGUUAAAUUUA